UACGGAGGGGGCUAGCGUUGUUCGGAAUUACUGGGCGUAAAGCGCACGUAGGCGGCUUUGUAAGUUAGAGGUGAAAGCCCGGGGCUCAACUCCGGAAUUGCCUUUAAGACUGCAUCGCUAGAACGUCGGAGAGGUAAGUGGAAUUCCGAGUGUAGAGGUGAAAUUCGUAGAUAUUCGGAAGAACACCAGUGGCGAAGGCGACUUACUGGACGACUGUUGACGCUGAGGUGCGAAAGCGUGGGGAGCAAACAGG
rnacentral:rRNA from 2 species